rnacentral:tRNA from 1 species
AAGGAUUUAAGUUAAGAAAACUGUUAGCCUUCAAAGCUAGAUAUAGGGCAGCAUUCCUAAGCCUUA